rnacentral:misc_RNA from 1 species
UCCUCAAGUUGCCUUCCUUGGAACCCUCUUCCUAGACAAUCAUCUACUCUGCUGCUGAAAUUGAACACAUCUAGGAGAACAGAGCCAUGGAACCAUGGAUCCUUCAUCCAAUAGCCAAAUUUGUAGGAGCACACAAAACCCUCUCUAGAUUACGCACCCCGCACACCAAAAACAAACUAAAAAACUAACUAUAACCUUACCCAGAGAUGAGGAGGAAAGCCCGUACCCAUGGGGGGGAGAAGGAAGCCUUACCUG